rnacentral:rRNA from 1 species
GAUGAACGCUAGCGGGAGGCUUAAUACAUGCAAGUCGAACGGUAACAAUUCGGUUGACGAGUGGCGCACGGGUGAGUAACGCGUACACGACCUACCUCAAACAGAAGGACAUACACUGGAAACGGAGUAAAUACUUCAUAGUCCCGCGAGGGUAAAGCUACGGCGGUUUGAGAUGGGUGUGCGUCUGAUUAGCUAGUUGGUGAGGUAACGGCUCACCAAGGCGACGAUCAGUAGGGGGCGUGAGAGCGUGAUCCCCCACACGGGUACUGAGACACGGACCCGACUCCUACGGGAGGCAGCAGUAAGGAAUAUUGGACAAUGGGCGCAAGCCUGAUCCAGCCAUCCCGCGUGCAGGAUGACGGCCCUAUGGGUUGUAAACUGCUUUUAUAAAGGAAGAAACCUAUUCUUUCAAGAGUAGCUGACGGUACUUUAUGAAUAAGCACCGGCUAACUCCG